AAGCGAUCAAAAAAAGGUCAGAAAAGGCAAGCAUGGAGAUGUUUUGGCAGAUUGUUGUUGCAGUAUUCAUAGUGUUACUGUCUGCGUUGGCGAUCCUGAAAGUAUACCUGGACAGCAUCAAAGGAAAAUGUACCAGUUCUACUGAUCUGUCUGGAAAGGUUGCUAUAGUAACAGGGGCCAACACAGGAAUUGGUUACUUCACUGCAUUAGACUUUGCCAGGAGAAAUGCUAGAGUCAUUUUAGCAUGCCGUGACCUUGUGAAAGGUCAGGAAGCAGUAGAGAAGAUCCGAGGACAAACAGGAAAUACAGACGUUGUUGUUAUAAAACUUGAUCUUAGUUUGAUGAAGUCAGUGAGAGAGUUUGCAGAACAGAUAAACAAGCAAGAAGCCAGACUAGAUAUACUUGUGAACAAUGCAGGCAUGGCAGGUUUGCCUUUAACAAAAACAGAGGAAGGAUUUGAAGUGAUGUAUGCAACAAACCAUUUUGGACAUUUCCUUCUAACAAACCUUCUUCUUGGUCUAUUGAAGAAGUCGCAGCCAAGUAGAAUAGUUAACGUAUCAUCGAUGGCCCACAGAUGGUCAAAGGGGAUUGACUUUGAUAAUCUAAAGGCGGAGAAAAGCUAUUCCAUAACAGAUACUUACUUCAGCUCCAAACUUGCCAAUAUUCUUUUUACACGUGAGCUAGCCAGAAAAUUAGAAGGAACAGGAGUACAGAUGACAUUGUGUGCUGUUCAUCCCAGCCUUGUUCAGACACAACUUUUGAGACAUUUACCACUACAUUUAAAAGUUCUUGAAGUCAUCAUUACCUACUUUUGGAAGGAAACCUUUGAGCAAUAUUCAGAAUUAUUUGAUAGGUCUGACAUGUUACAGUGUACAUCCAGGGACUGUUAAUUCAGAAGUGUGGAGACAUCUUCCCUUGCUCCCUAGCCUUUUCAUGGCUAUACCUAGGUAUCUACUUUUUAAGUUACAUUCUGCAGCAUCAGACUGCCGAGGAGGGGGCUCAGACCUCAAUAUAUUGCUCAGUGAGUGAGGACCUGGAAGGAGUAUCAGGGAAGUAUUAUGUUGAUUGCCAGGAAGCUGAGGACCAGAGCUCAGAUUUGAG
rnacentral:misc_RNA from 1 species